rnacentral:rRNA from 1 species
UACAGAGGGUGCUAACGUUGUUCGGAAUCACUGGGCUUAAAGCGCACGUAGGCGGCUAGGCAAGUGCGAUGUGAAAGCCCCCGGCCCAACCGGGGAACUGCAUCGUAGACUGCCUGGCUUGAGAGCGGUAGGGGAGACUAGAACUCCUGGUGGAGCGGUGAAAUGCGUAGAUAUCAGGAGGAAUACCGGUGGCGAAGGCGAGUCUCUGGUCCGCUUCUGACGCUCAGGUGCGAAAGCUAGGGGAGCAAACGGGAUUAGAUACCCCGGUAGUCCUAGCUGUAAACGAUGGGCACUGGCUAGAGGUGACCCUGCGUCGUCUCUGGUGUAGCAAAAGUGUUAAGUGCCCCGCCUGGGGAGUAUGGUCGCAAGGCUGAA